rnacentral:rRNA from 1 species
AUUGAACGCUGGCGGCAGGCCUAACACAUGCAAGUCGAACGAGUGGCGGACGGGUGAGUAAUGGCUGGGAACCUGCCCGAUGGAGAGGGAUAACGACUGGAAACGGUAGCUACUACCGCAUACCAUCGGAUGUGCCCAGAGGGGGUUAGCUUGUAGGUGAGGUAACGGCUCACCUAGGCGACGAUCCCUAGCUGGUCUGAGAGGAUGAUCAGCCACACUGGAACUGAGACACGGUCCAGACUCCUACGGGAGGCAGCAGUGGGGAAUAUUGCACAAUGGGCGCAAGCCUGAUGCAGCCAUGCCGCGUGUGUGAAGAAGGCCUUCGGGUUGUAAAGUACUUUCAGCGGGGAGGCGUUACCCGCAGAAGAAGCACCGGCUAACUCCGUGCCAGCAGCCGCGGUAAUUC